UUAUUUCUUUCUUUCAAAAUGGUUCCAACCCGGAAUAUUUUCGGAUUUUUGAAUCCGAAAACUCUUACCACUGUUUUUACAAGUAAUAUUUCUAAAAAUGCGUGCCGAUAUAUUCACAAAUGUAAUAAAUGUGACCACUUCUUAAUUGGAGCUGCAAUUCCCGCUGCUGUAGGACAUAAAGCCUUCAAGUAUAACGACAAGUUGAGACCUCGCUUGUUUCACACAACUUCUAAUUUGAACGCCAGAGUAGACUAUUACAAAGUCCUGGGAGUAUCAAAAAAUGCUUCAGCCAAAGAAAUAAAACAGGCGUACUAUCAAUUGGCUAAAAAGUACCACCCUGAUGCUAACAAGUCCGACCCUGAAUCUUCGAAAAAGUUUCAAGAAGUGUCAGAAGCUUAUGAGAUUCUCUCUGAUGAGUCAAAACGCAAGCAAUAUGAUACAUAUGGUACAACAUCAGACCAAAUGGGUGGAAUGGGAGGACCAGGAGGACCAGAAGGCUUCACACACCAAUGGCAAUACAAAUCUACUAUAGAUCCUGAGGAAUUGUUCCGCAAGAUAUUUGGAGAUGCAGGUUUCAAGAGUGAUAUAUUCAGUGAUUUUGCUGAGAGUCAGUUUGGAUUUGGAGCUGCAAAGGAGGUAAUAGUGAAUCUCAGUUUCACAGAAGCAGCACGUGGUGUAAACAAGGACAUAAAUGUGAACAUUGUAGAUACAUGUCCUAAAUGCAAUGGAAGUCGCUGUGAACCUGGUACUAAGGCCAUUAAAUGCACAUUUUGCAAUGGUACUGGCAUGGAGACAUUCUCUAGAGGUCCAUUUGUGAUGCGUUCCACAUGUAGACACUGCCACGGCUCGAGGAUGCUUAUCAAAUUCCCUUGUGUCGAAUGUGAAGGAAAGGGACAAUCUGUGCAACGGAAGAAGGUGACAGUACCAGUGCCAGCGGGUGUGGAAGAUGGGCAGACAGUGCGCAUGGCGGUUGGAGACAACGAGAUCUUCAUCACAUUCAAAGUGACACCUUCCACCUAUUUCCGCAGAGAUGGUCCUGAUGUGCAUACAGAUUGCUCUAUCUCGGUGUCUCAAGCUUUGUUGGGUGGCACUAUUAGGAUACAGGGAUUAUACGAAGACCAUACACUACAGAUAGCACCUUGUACGUCAUCGCACUCCACAAUUCGCCUUUCCCGGAAGGGCAUGAAGAGAGUCAGUCAGCACGGGUACGGAGACCACUACGUUCACAUCAAGAUAGUGGCACCAAAGUCGCUAACGGACAAGCAAAAAGCUCUGUUGUAUGCAUACGCUGAGCUCGAGGAAGAUACACCUGGUCAGAUCCACGGAGUAUCUUACAACAGAGAUGGUACUAAAGUGUCGAUAGCGGAGCCCCAUAAUCUCGUAGACGCCGUGAAAGAAGCCCUAAAACAAAAGAAAAGCAUCGAAGGCACCCCGCCAGAAGACGAUGACCUCAAGGAGUCCAGAAGCAAGGGUUAAACUAUAUCAGUACAGCUUGACCGCCAUCAGCUUAACACAAGGAGGGAAACAUCGAGUGCGGCACUAUUGAACAAAUUACGCUAAGGUGAUUGGUUGAGUGCGUUUUCCUCCCACAGAAGAGAAAAUUCUGGAGGUCAAGCUACUGGAGUAAAACUCAGUUUACAUAGCUGCGGAACGGGAUUUUUUAACCAUAGAUACGAACCAAAAAAACAGGACCGAUAGAGUGCCAGCAGCUGGAUUUUGUACGUUUGGUAUUCUGCUAAGAGUUAAGAGUAGUGACUUGUCAGUGCCUAGCCACCGAGUUACUCACUGCCAGUGCAAUUUUUUGGUUUCUGCUCUUCACUCUGCUCGCUUGGCGAGUCGAUGGCACGUCUGUGGUGUAGUCUACUAACGUUAUAUGUAUUUAAUUUGAAGACUAAAUUGCUGCUCAAACGAGAUAAAAAUUAAGACAUGCGUAGUAAUUUCCGUGGAAAUUUUCGUAAGGCAACAUCGAUUUAACAAUGAUCGAUUUAACAAUGAAUGAUUGAAUGAAUGAGGGCCAUCACUGCCAUUGCAACUCGAUUUUAGCAGAAUAACAAAUAACUAUCAUAAUUGUAAUGUCAGGGGAGUGGCAAUGGAAUUGCAGUGGAGUAUCAGUGGUUUGAAGAAAGUUAGCAGAAUUCCUGAGAAUUCUCGCGCUGUCUGGGGAAUUACACUUACCGUAUCGUAUCUAGUUUGUACAUUGCACAAUUGACAUGAAUUUCAUUAUGCUAUGUACAAUUUCGUAACAAAUAUUUAGUUUCAUUCCGUUCCGUUGCAAUGUAAAUUGAGCCUAAAGAGGUUUUAGGGCAUCAGCUAUUUCAAGCUUUAGUGGCGCUUAAAAAUUCAAAUAUGUCUUUGUGAACGAGUCCACAAUGAACUCGCACGUUGAUGCAACAGCUUGAAAUAGCAGAUGUCUUAGACCCCUUAUUAUCUUAUUCUUAGUCCAUUCAAAGGUAGAUAAAAAUAUUCCAAUUUAUACAUUUUUAUUUUAGGAGUUGGGAAUACGCCAAGGUAUACAUUUUAGCAUUUCGUCGAAAGCUUCCAAUUUUUGUUGGUUGUAUUCUGAGGCUACGGUUGUAUUACAUAAUGCUACACUUUUGUAGUUUAUUUUAAUUGACCACUAAGUAAUUUGGGAAAUUGAUUACGGAGACUUUUGUCCUUGAAUAACGGGUAAUCGGACAAGGACGUCGUGUUAGUAAUAUGAUAGCAAGGCCAUGGACCGAUAACCAUGAGGACUGCGAAUCUCCAGAUGGCGCUGAUCUUUGAUGAUAGCCUGGAAGUAUUUUAUAUUAUGUAAAUGGCCGUGGAUAUCAAUAAAGAAUAGAAUAGACAUUUAUUGCUUGUGCCAAGUCCCAAAAUGUAUACAAAGAACUGUCACUGUCAAAGUGACAUCUCAUGGAUCAUAAACCUUUUUUUCCCGGUAUUAACAGGUCUACUACUCUUCAUUUCAAUUGACAAAUGAUGAUGAUGAUAAUUUGAAUAAAUGAGAAGGACCACGGGCCAUAGAAAAUUACCCCGGGCAUGGCACAAAAACAACUCGGGUUUUUCUUUUAGAUUAGACAUGAACUCUAUAUAGUUUUAUUUUCGAUAUCAGUAGCUAACAUGUUGUUACUCAGGCGAAAAAGUGUUAAAUAAUGUAUUUUCAUGUAUAAACCAAACGCCUAUCAGGUUUUUAACUAUUCUUCAAAAAUUGUUAUCGGGAAAUAGAUGGCAUUGUGUGUUACAGACUAAUUUAUAAAAUACCGUUUGUUAAUAUGGGUAGAUGACACCACUUGUAAACAAAAUAAAAGAAUAGCCGGCAAUAUUCAUAA